UACAGAGGUCCCAAGCGUUGUUCGGAUUCACUGGGCGUAAAGGGUGCGUAGGUGGUCGGGUAAGUUUAAGGUGAAAGCUCCGGGCUCAACCCGGAAAUGGCCUUGAAUACUAUCCGGCUCGAGGGUUGGAGGGGGGACUGGAAUUCUCGGUGUAGCAGUGAAAUGCGUAGAUAUCGAGAGGAACACCAGUGGCGAAGGCGAGUCCCUGGACAACACCUGACACUGAGGCACGAAAGCUAGGGGAGCAAACGGG
rnacentral:rRNA from 1 species